rnacentral:rRNA from 1 species
AUGUAUCCAGUGGCUUGGGCAGUUGUUGAGCAGGAAACUAAAGAUAGUUGGAAGUGGUUUGUUGGCUUGCUUAUCAAGGAUCUUGACAUUAACAAUAAUGGAGCUGGCUGGGUCUUCAUUUCUGAUCAGCAAAAGGGUUUGAUCAAUGCCAUGAAGGAUUAUCUGCCAAAUGCAGAGCACAGACAAUGUGCUAGACAUAUCUAUGCCAAUUGA